rnacentral:rRNA from 1 species
GACGAACGCUGGCGGCGUGCUUAACACAUGCAAGUCGAACGGAAAGGCCCGGCUUUUGCGGGGUUCUCGAGUGGCGAACGGGUGAGAAACACGUGAGUAACCUGCCCCUGACUGUGUGAUAACUUCAGGAAACUGGGGCUAAUACCGGAUAGGAGCUCCUGCACCAUGGGGGGGGUUGGAAAGAUUCGGCGGUUGGGGAUGGACUCGCUGGUUAUGAGCUUGUUGGUCGGGUAGGUGCUUACCAAGGCUUCGACGGAUAGCCCGCCUGAGAGGGUGACCGGCGACAUGGGGACUGAGAGACGGCGCAGAAUCGUACCGGAGGCAGCAGUGGGGAAUCUUGCACAAUGGGCGGAAGCCUGAUGCAGCAACGCCGCGUGCGGGAUGACGGCCUUCGGGUGGUAAACCGCUUUCGCCUGUGACGAAGCGUGAGUGACGGUAAUGGGUAAAGAAGCACCGGCUAACUACGUG